CCCCCCCUCACCAUAACUCCUCGGUACGACUUGUGUCUCCCGUCCUAGGCUGAAGGAGAUACCAAGGGCGAUAAGGCCAAAGUUAAGGAUGAGCCACAGCGGAGAUCGGCGAGGUUAUCCGCUAAGCCUGCUCCUCCGAAGCCAGAGCCUAAACCUAAAAAGGCAGCUCCAAAGAAGAGCGAGAAGUUGCCCAAGGGAAAGAAGGGGAAAGCUGAUGCUGGCAAGGAGGGAAACAACCCUGCAGAAAACGGAGAUGCCAAAACAGACCAGGCACAGAAAGCCGAAGGUGCUGGUGAAGCCAAGUAAAACGUGUGAAUUUUUGAUAACUGUGUACUUCUGGUGACUGUACAGUUUGAAAUACUAUUUUUUAUCAAGUUUUAUAACAAUGCAGAAUUUUUGGUUUACUUUUUUUUAAGCUAUGUUGUUAGCACACAGACCGCUUCGUUGUUGUGUUUUGAGAGGGAGGGGGGAGGCGGGGGGGGAGGGACAGUGGGGACAAAUGUCACUUAGGCUAUUUCUCAGAACCUAAAUUUUAAUCAGAACGGUUUUCCCAGUCCCCUGGUUUUUGGAAAAAAGGGCUCUUCCUGAGUUAGUGGAGGAAGGGAUUCCUUUACCUGUGCCUCUGUUGAGUUCUGUGAAGUGCAUCCCAGUGAACAUCAGAGCUCCCAAGAUGCCUGUUGCUGACUUGAAAACCACAGUUUGUAAUGCCCUUUCUAUUUCCUUUAGAGCCUGUCACUCCAAAAUACAGCAAAAAAAAAAAAAAAGGCAUUUUUGGGACUUAGCACUCCAAAUGCAUUGUCAGGUGAUCCGGACUUCUGGUGGCUAAUUUGGGAUAAAACAGCUCCAAAAGGAGCUCUACUUCCUUUUUUUAUAUUGUGGAUCUUCAGGCUAAGAAAACCUGCAUUUUAAUUUUCUUUUUUUUAUUUUUUUCCUCUAAAAGUCAGGGUAGGUUUGUGAAGAGUUGUUAAACAACAUGCUAAAUGUGAAAGUGUCCACCCUCACUCUAAACUUUUCCCUCUACGAGUAUGAAAUGGAAGAUUUCUUGGGUUUUAUAGCAACUUUGACGUUUCGGUAGUCCAGGAAGGGAGGGGGAGUUUUGACAGUUGUUGUAAAAUGUUGCCGAUUGUAGCCCAUGUCCUGCCUAAAUUACCAUGAUUGUUUAUGAAAAGUACCUUUAAUAAAGCUGGAUACGGUUUGGCUUGGACUGUUCUU
rnacentral:lncRNA from 1 species